AUACGUAGGGGGCGAGCGUUGUCCGGAAUGAUUGGGCGUAAAGGGCGCGUAGGCGGCCCGGUAAGUCUGGAGUGAAAGUCCUGUUUUUAAGAUGGGAAUUGCUUUGGGUACUGUCGGGCUUGAGUGCAGGAGAGGUAAGUGGAAUUCCCAGUGUAGCGGUGAAAUGCGUAGAGAUUGGGAGGAACACCAGUGGCGAAGGCGACUUACUGGACUGUAACUGACGCUGAGGCGCGAAAGUGUGGGGAGCAAACAGGAUGAGAUACCCUGGUAGUCCACACUGUAAACGAUGAAUGCUAGGUGUAGGGGGUAUCGACCCCUUCUGUGCCGCAGUCAACACAAUAAGCAUUCCGCCUGGGGAGUACGGCCGCAAGGUUGAAACUCAAAUGAAUUGACGGGG
rnacentral:rRNA from 1 species